GCCCGGGUGCUGAAACUGGUAGACAGGCAUGAUUCAGGUUCAUGUGUCCGCAAGGGCGUGUGGGUUCGACUCCCACCUCGGGCA
rnacentral:tRNA from 1 species